AUAACUACUCAGGAGAUACCAUGACCCCAAAAGUGGUUUUCCCUAGAGUGAGAUGCAUUAAUUGUACUCCAGGUGACUCCCCUCUGUGAUUCCCCUCAGAUACAGGAAACUUGACUGUGUAAUUUAUGGUAGUGAGGGGCCCACA
rnacentral:snRNA from 1 species